rnacentral:misc_RNA from 1 species
UUGACGGGCUCAGGGGCCUCGCUCAGCACGGCGAUGUGGUGGUGCACGUCGGACGCCGGCUUCGGCAGCGCCGACUGCGACCGGCCCGGGCUGGCGCCGCCGGGGCCAUUGGCGGCGGCGGCGGGCAGCGCGUCGCUGUCCUGCGGCGUCUUCCACAGCGCCGUGGACACGGACUGGAAGAAGCCGUUCAUGGUGAUGCUGGGGCCGACGCACGUGUUCCCCAUCGCGGCGGCCGGGGACGAACACGAGGGCACGGAAUCUCUACCGGAUCCAAGAGCACGUACAGCCCCUCAGCUCCUCGAGCUCCGCCUCGGAUCAGAUCCCAUGCCACUCUCGCCGCUUCGGUGUUCUUGAUGAUGAGCCCCACCAGGCUUUUGGACCUCGUCGCCCUGCCGGCGCGGCAGGUGGAGGAAGGAGCAGUCCAAGGCGACCACCCACAAGCCACCCCACAGAUGCUAGAAACCAAAUUGCUCAAGGCAAAGUGAGGGGUAGGAGGACCAGCUCUACAGAGGACUGAGGAUUAGAGAGGCAAGUGGGGGCAGCAGCUCGACCAUGAUGACCAUGAUAGGCAGCUGGUAGCUCGAAGAAGAACAAGUGAUGACGACGAGAGCAUCCAGAGGGGAAGACAAAAGGGCAGCAGGAGCUGAUGGUGUGGAAACGCGUGAUCAUCCCUCGCAGUCUCGCACUACGUGAGGGGGAGUGUGGACGCGACGGGCGGAGAAGCGAACAAAAAAGAGAUCCAUCCAGGAGGAGGCGGGGACGGGUACGCGCAGUUGGGGGGCAAUGAUUGGGUGGCUGGCUACUCGUGGGUGCCUAGCUGUUGAGUUUGACAUGGCGCGGCGAGGAAAGAGCCGGAGCAGGAGCCGGGAGGAAGAGGGCGCGAAGUGGGGGGCGGCGAGGGGGCAC